UGUUAAUGUCGGAUUUUGCAAUUACGUUUGGGUUUCUCUGCAUCCUCAAAAUUAAGGUCAAUUUCAAGCUGUAAGCUGCCAGAGCUGGCACACAAAGCGCGUUAAGCAGUUCACUGUCGGCUAAACAGGCGUUAUUUAACAUGUCAAACAAAUCGAUAGGUGACAUAAUGGCAUGCAAAAAAACCGGAGGGUGUAAAAAAUUCACUUCGAUGGCAUCUAUUUAUGUUUAUGAGGUGUGUGCGGUCAAAAUAAAAGCAUAUGAUACCUUU